UUUUCUUCUGAUGAGCUUGCCGUACCUAAAUAUUUUCUGGUAGCAUGCGAGUACCUUGUUUGAUUAUUUUAUUGUUUAGCAUAACGUUAUUGUGUAAUUCUUUUUUCCAGUUGUUUACUGUGCCUGUAGUCUCUGCUGGACGUGCAGCUAAGAACCACUAUAUUUGUUGUUUAAUACAGGUGCAGCGUGGGCAUAGAGGGAUUUCUCAGCAUAUUAUGGUGGAUUCCUAUUCCUGUGUGGAACUGAAUCUACUUACUUACAACCUGUUAAAUCAAGAUACUUUGCGAACAGAGACGUACUAAGGGUCUUUCUGAUGCAUUAUGAGAGGGUACUUCUACCUGGAAAAAUGUAGGUGUUCAGUAUUUGCUCCAUUCAAGUUUCAGUGGUGGACGUCAUUUUAUGGUUCUUAGUUACCAGGAUGGCAUUGCUACAUGUUAACAAUUUGGUGCACCUGACACUUUGUACGCCUUCACGUGUAAUCCAAAGUGGCAUGAGACCGUGGACGCUAAUUAUGGAGCUUGAUCAAAUUCCUUCUGGCCGCCCUGAUAUUAUUACCUGUGUAUUUGGAAUGAAGUUCGAUGAGUUUGUCAGUAAUACUAAGAAUGUGCUGCCUCAGGACCCAUUAAUACAUAUUUGCAUGUGGAGUUUCAGAAAAGAGGCCUACCUCAUACACACGUUCUUGUGUGUUUAAAGGAAGAAACAAGAGAUGGAUAACACAUUUGUUGACGGCCUUGGAUUUCCGGUAUAUUUUCGUCGGGAUAAUAAGUGUCAUAUAAGAAAUGGAGUAUCUUUUGAUAACAGAUCAGGUUGUACCAUAUAACAUGCCUUUAUUGAAGAAAUUCCAAGGUCACAUGAAUGUUGAAUGGUGUAACAAGAUGAAUCUCCCGAUGUAUCUUUUCAAGUACCUAGCUAAAGGGCAUGAUAUCUUUUAUGACUAUAUUCUUGUUUUGCAGUG